GCAGUACAGUAUCUGUUAUAUGAUGAUAAAAAACCAUUAUAAGAGCACAAAACAUGCUACAGAAAGCAUCGAGUUAAAAGGAAACAUUCACAUCGAAAGUCUCCUCUUUUGCUUCUUUAUGAGUCCAUGCCCAAUUGCCCAUUCAAGAGAAUGGUUUCUUUCAUUUUUGAACAGAAUAUUUCUACAUUAAGAAGCAUAAAAUCAAGCCAGCAGGAUUAAAUUCUAAUAGAAGUUAACAUACUAAAAAAUUUUUCUGCUUUUCAAAAUUAUUGGAACUUCAUUUGCCUUUAGUAAUACCAAAGAGAUAACAUAUCUAAAUGGCAAACAUCAAGCAUAAUUAUGUGAUAAAAUCAUCAACUAACCUUACAUAAACUAACCUAGUCACACCCAAAUGAAUACCCAAACAGAGUUUAAUAAUAAUACUCCAGGAAAAGAAACAUACCUCAUCAAAUGGCUGAGAACCUGG
rnacentral:misc_RNA from 1 species